rnacentral:rRNA from 1 species
UACGUAGGUGGCAAGCGUUGUCCGGAUUUACUGGGCGUAAAGGAUGCGUAGGCGGACAUUUUAAGUCAGAUGUGAAAUCCCCGAGCUUAACUUGGGAAUUGCGCUCGAAACUACGGAGCUGGAGUGUGGCAGAGGAAGGUGGAAUUCCACGUGUAGCGGUGAAAUGCGUAGAGAUGUGGAGGAACACCGAUGGCGAAGGCAGCCUUCUGGGCCAACACUGACGCUCAGGCACGAAAGCGUGGGGAGCAAACAGG